ensembl:snoRNA
AUCCCAUUUCCAAGAAUUACUGUUUCCUAUAGCAGUGGUUUAAACAGAAGUGCAAACAAUUAAAGAAUCUCAUCCUGCUUAGGGGGCUGUGGCUGUGCCCCUUAAAACGAAUGUGGAGGUUCUUGCCCC